CAGUUACUCGCACGGAAUCUGCACCAUCUCCCAUGCGUGGCGGGGACGCAUGGGUUAGAUCAAAAAGCACAAACAAGAACAUCAAAACUUAGGCACGCGAGAGGGAAAGGAAGAGACAACCAACACGCGCAACGAAAUAGGAAAAGCGCCGACACCCGCAGGAGGGAGGAGGCGCGACGACAAUUCCUUGCCCCUUCCCCCCUUCCCCCUGCUUGUACAUCUACUGAGCGUUUUCAGCCCUAGCCCCUCCCCUUCCCCAUGGUAUGCAUAGAAAACUGAAGUACACACACACACACACACACACACAUAACGCGUGCUCGCAAGUCUCGUGAGCGCGCGCACACUUGAACAGCAACGCCACCUCCCUUGCAGCAGAAGAUCGUCAGCUCUAGACACCAGCUAGUAUGGUCGGAUCCACAAGUGACAGCAGCAUGAGCCAUGGCAGUUGCGGUCACAAACGUAGCGCGGAGAUGGUGCAGACGCGUGAGCUGAAUGCAAGUGGUCGCAUACGCCGCGCCUGUCCAAGUGCUCCGCAGCUUCGCCGUUGGGGGCAAACUCCUUUCAGCGUAGACACGUCGAUUGCCAAUCAAAGCAUUUCGCUCCGUGCAUCGGCGUCUGACGCAUCUGCGCGCCGCCCCUCCUCUCCCAACACCACCUCAGUGUCUCCACUCGCCCGCGGCGAUGUCAUGCGCCGCCCCAGGGCUGCCGUCGUGCGUGCACCCGCGUCAGAGGGGCGUCUCGAAGGCCGAAGUCUAACUAAUCCCUCAGCAUUGCAACCAGAGUCGUUUGGGCCCACUCCACAAACCGUCGACGACGCACAUAUGGUGAACAAUAAGGGCGGGAGCACGGAGGAGCUGUCGUGCGAUGCGGUGGCCCAUGGUCAGCACUCGGCUUCUGCAUCUCCUGUUGUGCAGAUGCCGGCGGCGGCGCCGCCUCGGGCCGCCACGGUGCCAGUCAAAGCAGAAGCGAGGACAUACCACGUGAAUGAGACAGAGGCGGUGGGGCGUGGAGAUGACGAGUCGACUCGCACACAUCUGCGGGAGCCUUGGAUGCCUUCGUCCACCCUCCGAUCCCCAGCAGCAGCGGUACCGCUGCAGCCAGUCGCCCCACCCCCGCCAACCCCCCUCCCCAUCGCUUCCCGCUCUUCUGCGCCAUCGCCUUCAGCAGUAGUGCUCCUGCCGCAGCACCCGCGUGAAGGCAGCAACGCUGCUUCCCGAGAGCCGCCAUCGUCGUCGUCGCCAUCACCGUCACGCCUGCGGCAUUUGCCGCAGGCUACACCAGUGCGAGGUCACAGCGGGAGCCAGGCUGCUGAGGCCGUCCAAGACACCAGCAACUGCUCUCCGCCGAUAGUGUUAUGCGCAUCAUCUGGCACCCCAUCAGUGCUCAUCACGUCAGUGUCUACCGUCGCCGCAGAAGAGGGCGGCCGACGAACAUGGGAGGGAGGUACACGCAGGGCGGCAUCUACGUCCGGUGAUGUUGUCGGAGAAAGGGAUGACGACCUCCCAACGGCGCAAUCCAACGCACCUCUCCCGGCCCGAGAGCUUCUAGAGUGCGCCAAUGGCGGCCACCUCGCCACCUCCACGGUAGCCGACGUGAGCGCUGUAUCGCCGACAACACGCGAUGAGCGGCGGCGCAGGCUUGCAGAUGCGCAGCAGUUGCGUGCCUCAGCGUUCUCUUCCUCCCUGCCCCCAUCGUCUAUCGUGAGCAGCUCUUGCGGCAUGGCGCGUAUUCUGCAGCUGCAGGCGCAGGAGGGCUGGAAGGACGGGCUGCGUGCUGCUCUUCAGCAAGACGCGGGGGUGUGGGUGCGGCAAGUGUGCGAGGAGCAGCGACUCCUGCAAGCGCAGCUGAGCGUCACGCAGGCCAGAGCAGCAGCGCUGGCAAAAGACUUGCAGGAGCUUCGUGACCGUGGAUCGUCUUCGGCUUCUGCUCUCCGGCAUCAGUCACAACCUGCCGAUACCGCGGGCGUGGCGGUUAGCGGAGCUGCAGAGAAGAGCUGCCGGGAGCACACCGCUGCGGAGCGACCGUGUAAUGACGAUAUAAGCGGCAAAUCACGCCUUUUUCAUCUCGCAGAAUUGAGCCCGGAGAGGCCUGCGACACCGGAUGGCGACGACAGAGGUGCGCACACGAGCUCUGCUGCUGAUGGCGACACUGCUGCCGCGUUUGGCACCGCCUACACGCAUGAGCUGGAGGCUUAUGUUCAUCUCCUGGAGCAGCAUACGCACGCGCUGCACUCAGAAAAGUACCAGCUACAGCUGCGGCUUGACCGGCGAACCAGUCAGCUUGCUUCAUCCCAGCAGCGCUACCUGCAGCGCUACGCCAGACUUCUGCAGGAACAGUCAGUGCUAGAGCGCGACUAUCGCAAAGCCACGGAAGACGUGGAGCAGUUAGUGGGAAUGUUGGUGGUGGCUCGCGCUGCCGAACGCGCUGCCAUGCGAAGAGCGGAGGAGUUUGAAUCGGCACUGGAGGAGUCAGAGCUGCGCGCCGAGGCGCUAGCGGCCGCACUGCACCCGCAGGCGAAGGAGAACUGCGGUGGUUACAUCGAGGGGGGCACCGACAGCGUCAAUCCCAUCUCCGACCCCAUCGCUGUUGGGUCUAAUGGCAGCGAGAGCCUGCGUUGCCCGUCCGGCCACGCCUCCGCUCUACCACCAAGCAGCGCCUUUGCGUCGUUCACAGAGCACAAUGAGACAGACAGGAGUAUCAUGGUAAUCGAUGCGCUCGCUGCGGCGUCUGGCAGGCCUUCGGUGGAGCGUCCCCGUGUGCUGGCAUGGCGCUCCAUGAGCGCGUCCUCCUCCAUGUACCCGCCUUUGUCGCCAGGCGCGUCGUCGCUAACUGCGGAGUCGACUUCGUGGACGCCUGUGCGGGCUCCGACAACUGCUGUCGGAUGUGAGUGCAGUCGCGAGGCCGAGCCCCCGUGGGGCCGCAGCGCCUAUUCAUUUUCCGCCGUGCCACUGUCUGCAGAGCCGUCCCCCAUGCGCACGGCAGCAGACGUGGAGAGAAACGGUGCAGUGGGCGGCUGCUCUCCGGAGGUCUGCGUUGCUGCGAGGUUGGCAUUGCGCGAGGCGGGCAUACCUUCUCUGCCGCAACGCGCCCUCUCGCAGGCCGCUACCGCCCCUCCCACGCUCACGCCGUUGCCCAUUCCAGACGCGAUGGCGAAUGCAGGCACGGCGACCGUGGCCUCGCGCGGGCCAGCGUCUUCACAGAGACUCAGUCGUGAAGACAGCAGUGACGGCGUCUCUGCCUUUACGGCGCUGACAGUGGCACCUGCAUCUGUGGAGCACGCGGGGGCGCGAAACACUUCCAUUAGCGCAUCGACGAGCCUGAUGAGUGCCAACACUUUCGUUUGCACCCCCCUCAUUUCUACCAUCACGACAACGCUGACGCCGCGCACGCUGGCGCGCCAGCGCCGCCAUGUCCAGAACCAGAUUAGGGAGCUCCGUGGCGGCGCGGCGGAGGGAGGGGACCACAGCACUGCCGACGAGCAUCAGCUGCUGCAGUUCCGCUGCACGCUGCUCGAGCUGGAGCUACAGGCGAAGGAGACAGCGCACAAGGCGGAGAAGGAGGCGUGGGAGGCGGCGGUUCAUCACGCGGAGGGCGUCGCAGGUGCCAUGGGCGAGGUCGAGGCCCGUGUGAGGCAGGCCGUCGCCGCCUCGGAGAAGGCCGGGCACCUCUUGCAUGAAAUGAGCCGACUAUGGAGCCAUUCCCUUGCUCUAGACGAGGACGACAUCAGUGACGAUGGUGGCGAGGCAGCAGCGAGUGCAACGAGGCUUCCGGUGAUGGAUGAGGAGCAGACCUUUUACCCCCAGCGCUCUCGCGACGAGACCCCGCUGUACUGACGGCAACACCAGCAGCCGAACCCGUCUAGUGUCAGCAGUUGACGUGGUGGCCAUCGAAGUCGCAGAGCGGCAGGAAAGCUCAAUGAGAGGGAGGGGGUGUCGACGCGUCUGCUGCCUGAAGACGAUGAGCGCAGCCCCGAGGACCAAGCACUUCUUUGUAUGUAUGCGCCGUCCCAUCACUGCAAUUCCGAAUACGCAAGCCUACACGCAGACACCCACUUAUGCACAGGACCAAACGCGCGCGCGAUACGCCUCGUGUUGUGCCUCCGUCACCUGUGCCCCUGACCUUGGCAAUCCUGCUCUCCGUCCGGUGUGGAGUCCUUCCCAAGUCGCGAUCUUCCUCCCUUCGUACUCUUGCCUCCGUCUUUCAGCAGGCCAGUUUGAUGGAGACGAGCGUGGGAGUACGGCAAUGCAACAGCUGCCAGCGUUGCUUUCCUCCCUCUUGCGCGCUCUCUUACUUGCUUCGUUUUUAAUACUGUGUUGCCUUCUCCCGCGCAUUCAUGCGAUGAUACGGGCCGACCACGGGCCAGCAGCAGCAGCGGGCGUCAAGCGCGUCUCACUCUCGCGCUCUUCGUCUCUGUGCGCGUGCUCCACAAAUACAAAACUACAGUGCCUGGAGUUUUGUAUUUGUCUGCGCGCUUCAUUCUCUGUACCUGUGGACGGCCACAAGCAACUAUACCAGGUGGUAGGGAGGCGAAGGAGAGGGAAGGGUUUGUGUGAAGGGGGAGGAAGAGAGGCAGAGACACAGUGGGCUGCGUCUGCAUUGACGCGCACACAUCUACACGAUUAGCCGAAGCAGCGACAUGCAGCCGUCUUCUCUUGUUCUUCCACCCCUCGGCUUUUGGGCUUGGGGCCAUCAGUGGAGGAUGCGCCUGUUCGGUGCCCGUUGCCUCGCCGUCUCACCCCUCCGUUGCAAGGGUCUCUCUCUGUCUUCUACUCUGCCAGCGCAGAUCUCUUUGCGUGAUGCUGCGCCGGUGAUCCGCCGUCCCCUCCAACUACUGCAAACUCGGCGGUGCUCCUCUGACGUAUUUCCUAUUCGCCUGUUUGCAUCCCUCAGCACCACUAUCGUUCCCUUUGCUGCUGUGCGCGUGACUGUGCUCGCGUGCAGUGGUGGGAGGCGUAGUGCAGCGGCGCUCGGGUGCCGCUCAUGGAUGACCUCUUUGCGGUCUUCCACCUCUUUUCUCUUCCUCCCACUCCUUAUGUGUGCCCACCCUCUCCCAUCACACUCUCACCCGUCGUUUCGCCUUUCCUGCCUUCUCUUCUCCCGAACCCGCAUCUGUAG
rnacentral:misc_RNA from 1 species